rnacentral:rRNA from 1 species
UACGUAGGGACCAAGCGUUGUCCGGAAUCAUUGGGCGUAAAGCGCGCGUAGGUGGCCAUUUAAGUCCGCUGUGAAAGUCAGAGGCUCAACCUUUGAAAGCCGGUGGAUACUGGAUGGCUAGAGUACGGAAGAGGCGAGUGGAAUUCCUGGUGUAGCGGUGGAAUGCGCAGAUAUCAGGAGGAACACCAAUAGCGAAGGCAGCUCGCUGGGACGUUUACUGACACUAAGGCGCGAAAGCGUGGGGAGCGAACAGG